ACGGGACUCUUCGGAGUUCAGUGGCGGACGGGUGAGUAACGCGUGAGAAUCUGCCUAGAGGAUGGGGACAACCACGGGAAACUGUGGCUAAUACCCAAUGAGCGGAGACGUUAAAGAUUUAUCGCCUCUAGAGGAGCUCGCGUCUGAUUAGCUAGUUGGUGGGGUAAAAGCCUACCAAGGCGACGAUCAGUAGCUGGUCUGAGAGGACAACCAGCCACACUGGGACUGAGACACGGCCCAGACUCCUACGGGAGGCAGCAGUGGGGAAUUUUCCGCAAUGGGCGAAAGCCUGACGGAGCAAUACCGCGUGAGGGAGGAAGGCUCUUGGGUCGUAAACCUCUUUUCUCAGGGAAGAAGAAAGUGACGGUACCUGAGGAAUCAGCCUCGGCUAACUCCGUGCCAGCAGCCGCGGUAAUACGGAGGAGGCAAGCGUUAUCCGGAAUUAUUGGGCGUAAAGCGUCCGUAGGUGGCUCUUCAAGUCUGCUGUCAAAGAGUGGGGCUUAACUCCAGAAAGGCAGUGGAAACUGAAAGGCUAGAGAGCCGUAGGGGUAGAGGGAAUUCCCGGUGUAGCGGUGAAAUGCGUAGAGAUCGGGAAGAACAUCGGUGGCGAAAGCGCUCUACUGGACGGUAUCUGACACUGAGGGACGAAAGCUAGGGGAGCGAAUGGGAUUAGAUACCCCAGUAGUCCUAGCCGUAAACGAUGGAUACUAGGCGUG
rnacentral:rRNA from 1 species